rnacentral:rRNA from 1 species
UAGUUGCCAGCACAUAAUGGUGGGGACUCUAGGAAGACUGCCUGCGCAAGCAGAGAGGAAGGAGGGGACGACGUCAAGUCAUCAUGGCCCUUACGGCCUGGGCUACACACGUGCUACAAUGGUCGGUACAGAGGGUUGCCAAGCCGCGAGGUGGAGCUAAUCCCACAAAGCCGAUCGUAGUCCGGAUUGGAGUCUGCAACUCGACUCCAUGAAGUCGGAAUCGCUAGUAAUCGCGGAUCAGAAUGCCGCGGUGAAUACGUUCCCGGGCCUUGUACACACCGCCCGUCACACCAUGGGAGUGGGUUGCUCCAGAAGUGGUUAGUCUAACCUUCGGGAGGACGAUCACCACGGUGUGGUUCAUGACUGGGGUGAAGUCGUAACAAGGUAGCCGUAGGG